rnacentral:rRNA from 1 species
UGGUGGAGUGAUUUGUCUGGUUAAUUCCGUUAACGAACGAGACCUCGACCUGCUAAAUAGUUCGGCGAAUUCUUCGGAAUUCGUGCGUGACUUCUUAGAGGGACUAUCGGUGUGUAGCCGGUGGAAGUUCGAGGCAAUAACA